GACGAACGCUGGCGGCGUGCUUAACACAUGCAAGUCGAGCGGUAAAGGCCCUUUCGGGGGUACACGAGCGGCGAACGGGUGAGUAACACGUGGGUGACCUGCCCUCAGCUCUGGGAUAAGCCUGGGAAACUGGGUCUAAUACUGGAUAUGACUCCACGGUGCAUGUCGUGGGGUGGAAAGCCUUGUGCGGCUGAGGAUGGGCCCGCGGCCUAUCAGCUUGUUGGUGGGGUGAUGGCCUACCAAGGCGACGACGGGUAGCCGGCCUGAGAGGGCGACCGGCCACACUGGGACUGAGACACGG
rnacentral:rRNA from 1 species